rnacentral:lncRNA from 1 species
UAUAUAGCUAUGUGCGCUAACUAGUAUUCCCGUCGUAUCAUGCUCAACUCUUAAUACUCUAUUUCGCACUUUGAAAAUCUUUGCGUGUUUUCAGAGAGAUAUUUAAGCACAUAUGAAGUAACAGUGGCGUCUCUACCAUUGAGUUACACAAUGCAGCUUUUAGCUCGCUCGUAAACAUCACUGCUGUCCUCAGAUCAUUGUCUGAGCAGAAGUUUCAUCAUUAACCCUGACUGUCAGAUGCUCUUCAUCUCAGGAGCUGUAUUUUUAGAUGCUUUAUAACAGAUAGGCUAUAAGCGAGAAGAGGCUGAAUCCAAAGCCCGAGAAGAAGCAGAGAAACAGAGGAUCGAACCAGAGAAACACUUCCAGAAGGAGGAGCUGGAACGCUUGGAAAGAAAGAAGAAAUCGUGAAGAGGACUCGUAAGAGUGACGCAGGAGCACAGAAAGAUGUUAAAACUCCAACUCAAAUGAAUGGCAGAGUCACUGACAGCGUAAUCCAGAAAAAUCAGUCAGAAGCUCUUCAUAGUAGUGCGACAAACCAAUCACCAAUGA